rnacentral:lncRNA from 1 species
GAAGUUUGAUUGAAGACAAAUUUUCAUAUUUGCGUUUCUACUUUUGAUUUUACAUAACACAGCGGACGUUUGUUACAGCCAAAUCAUCCCGCGUCAACUUAUGCCUAUCCACACCCUACAGUUGUAUGUACAGCAUAUUAAAGGGACAUUACAGCCUGGAAUACGCCAAAUUGGGCUACAAAACAAUAUCAAAUGGAAAGAGCAUUUAAAACAAGCUCGCAACAACAAAUUCCUCAUCACUUGCAACAACACCGUGAUGCCAGGCACGGCACAGUUACUACAACAUAGCACCUGCCUCAGAUUGUCUGCCCACCAGAACAACCCGACGACAGCAGCGCCUGUAACUGGUAUCCAGCAAGCUGGUGUCCUAUCCCCCCAUAGAUUGUCAGUUGUUACUCAACCCACCGGUUUGUGUCGUGACUGUGACGUCGCCUGCCGUUCAGCCAUUGGUCGGUGGCAAUCAAUUGACUGAGUUUGAUAUGAGCCGCAGGAUGUAUGACCAAGUUCCACCAUCCCUCCUUCAGUCUUCACUGACUGCAGGUGUCGUCAAUUUUUCAGGAGCUAUGAAGUCUCCUACGGACAUCCAGAAACGCAUCUUGCUUCAGCAUCUACGCCUGCAGCUGGAGUUGCUACAGGCUCAGCAACUACAACAAGCGUGCCUCCGGCUUAAUGUAAGACGAGGCAGAAACACAGAAAGGGGAGGGCAGGGCAUGGAUCUAGAGGAGCGGUGAUUAACGUGAAGAAGCUAUGUCACAUGCAGGAUGCUGAGAAAAGUAAAAAGCACAAGAACAACUCAACCGCCAGUCGACACAAACCCAGCCCAACAUUCAAAGUCGACGGGGCUAUGAAUCAUGUGCUGCAAUAUCCAACCUGGCGAUUGUAAACAACAACAACAGUAAUAACAAAUGUGACGGUGACUCUCAAGAUUGUUUGACCCAGCCCCAUGCACUAAACUCGUUACGGAAACGAAAAUCUUCCAAACGACCACGAAAAAGCAGCAGUGGAAUUGAUGCGUUCCGUGGAAUAACAGUCAGUGAUUCCGAGCCAGUAGUGGACAACAUCGGCCAUUGCUUUUGAAGUCGGCAAAGAGUCUGUACCCCUUGACUUGUCCUGCACUCUUAUGCCCACCUACAACACGGGGAACAUGAUUACCACCAAUGCCGCUUUCGAACCGACGACUGGGUUGUGGCAACGGAAACCAGGCUAUGAACAUGUCAACAUGAUAAACCAAUCCCAACGUCAAGGAUUUGAAUUUAGUCAGAUCCCAGAGGUAAGGUCCCCAGAGUCCACCUAUCUGUUGUACAGUUGCUGUGACGAUGAGGCAUGGUACCAGUCCUCACAGUCUGAUGAGGUGGAUAUGCUGCCCAAUCAGAGCUCAGCAUCUCCUGCUGCUGGCCAAUCAAAUGCCAGCAUGAGCUCGCCAAUGCAACCGUCAUUCUUUGCAAGGCUUGUGCACAGCGACCAACAGAAGUCCCUAUUUUAAAAUAAUAUUCACUUUGCAACCCAACUUGCAGUAAAUGAGUACCUGUAGUUAUAGAAAUAAGUGCAAGAGUUCUAUUUUUCAAACAUAAUUUCAUUGUUCUAAAUUGCCAGAUAGUUUUGUUUAUUUUGCCCAAGGUAAGCUUCAAAAUGACAGUGUAUUCCUGAAAUCCCUGUACGUUAUGUACAUUGUAUGUACACAACAGCUGAUGUUAAUUUACAUGUAUGUGAAUGUUUUACCUUUUAUAUUCAAACGAAAAGAAUCAGAUUUGAUCUUAGAUUGAACACGAGUGUAUACUGUUUUACAUCUGUGUAUGUUGUGUAAAACGUUUCAAUACACGUGUAUCAGAAUAUAUGUAUCAUCUGGAAUAAUUGCCCAGAGUACUGAGGCAAACGAAUAUGAACACUGUUGUGAUUCCUGUAUUUAUCAGGUGUACAUACUUGCCGUUUAGAGAAAAGUCAGCGUUUUUAUUAUUUUUUUUUAACAUUUAAAUAUUACUGUAGGCCUAAAGCUGGCUCCUUGAUUUUUUUUCGAUUUUGGCAAAAACAAAAACGAAAUUGCUUAAAACUUGCAGGGAAGAAGAUGCUUAGAGAACCUUUAAAUACAUUCUUAUUGUGCUUCCCAUGUGCUUCUCAACCGAACAUUGCAUCGAAAAUUUGGGGGAGAGCGGUUCAAAAUGACUUUUUUUUCUCAAUAGAUCAGUCAAUUUGUCCAAAUCUUCAAAUUUGUUGAGUAUAUUUCACCCUUAACACGCUACAUUGUUUUGGUUAAAUUAUUUUAUUGUUUGACGACCAAUGACUCUAUUACUUUAUCACACUAUUCCUUUAUUACAUGUACAUUAAAUGUUACAUACGAUAUCGUCUCCACAACGAGUUUGCUGGUUUUGUUCAAUGUAAGUUGACUCUAUUUUGCCAUGCAAUUUAUUUAUCGUGUUUAACACGCUACAUUGUUUCGAUUAUAACAAUUGUAUUGAUAAAUGAUUCCUCUUCAAAUUCAACAGAUUUGCGUUUUCUUUCUAGUUCAAUUAAUUUUCGAAAUUUCAAUUCAGUGCAGCGGAUACUUCUUGAGUUAGUCUGGAAACUGAGCGUGUUGUUUUUGUGUCAUGAAAGUUUACUCAAAAUACCAUAUAUUUUUUUCGCUUAACACGCUACAUUGUUUCGGUUAUAAUAGUUGUAUAUUGAUAAACGAUUCCUCUCCAAAUUCAUCAAAUUUGUAUUAUCUGUCUAGUUGAAAUAAUAGUCAAAAUUUAAAUUCAGUGCAGCAGAUACUUCUUGAGUUAUAUUCUGGAAACGAGUGUGUUGUUUUCGUGUCGUGAAAGUCGACACUAAAUUGCCAUUUUUUUCGCUGAACAUGCUACAUUGUUUCGGUUAUAAUAAUUGUAUUGAUUAUUAAUUGAUUCCCCUCCCAAUUCAACAGAUUUGCGUUAUCUAUCCAGUUUAAUCAAUGUAUGAAAUUUCAAUUCAAUGUAAGAGAUGUUUCUAGAGUUAUUUUUUGGAAACCGAGUAUGUUGCUCGUGUCAUGAAAGUUGAGUAAACUUCACCUUGUAUUUUUCAAGCUUAACACGCUAACAUGUUCGGGUUAAAAUUAUUUUUUAUUGUUUGACGAUCCUUCUCCAAUUUCAAACAGUUUGUGUAACCUAUGACGACAAAACACUCAAUAAAAUUUGACUUCAAUACAUAACAAAUUUCUUGAGA